rnacentral:rRNA from 1 species
CCUACGGGAGGCAGCAGUGAGGAAUAUUGGUCAAUGGACGCAAGUCUGAACCAGCCAAGUAGCGUGCAGGAUGACGGCCCUCCGGGUUGUAAACUGCUUUUAGUUGGGAAUAAAAGGGGGCUCGUGAGCCCCGUAUUGUAUGUACCAUCAGAAAAAGGACCGGCUAAUUCCGUGCCAGCAGCCGCGGUAAUACGGAAGGUCCGGGCGUUAUCCGGUUUUAUUGGUUUUAAAGGGAGCGUAGGCCGGUUUGUAAGUCAGCUGUGAAAGUCCGCGGCUCAACCGUGGAGUUGCAGUGGAAACUGGAGGCCUUGAGUGCGCGCAGAGAUGCCGGAAUUCAUGGUGUAGCGGUGAAAUGCUUAGAUAUGAUGAAGAACCCCGAUCGCGAAGGCAGGUGUCCGGGGUGCAACUGACGCUGAGGCUCGAAAGUGCGGGUAUCAAACAGGAUUAGAUACCCCGGUAGUC